rnacentral:rRNA from 1 species
AGGCACGCUGACACGUAGGUGAAGUGAUUUACUCAUGGAGCUGAAGUCAGUCGAAGAUACCAGCUGGCUGCAACUGUUUAUUAAAAACACAGCACUGUGCAAACACGAAAGUGGACGUAUACGGUGUGACGCCUGCCCGGUGCCGGAAGGUUAAUUGAUGGGGUCAGCGCAAGCGAAGCUCCUGAUCGAAGCCCCGGUAAACGGCGGCCGUAACUAUAACGGUCCUAAGGUAGCGAAAUUCCUUGUCGGGUAAGUUCCGACCUGCACGAAUGGCGUAAUGAUGGCCAGGCUGUCUCCACCCGAGACUCAGUGAAAUUGAACUCGCUGUGAAGAUGCAGUGUACCCGCGGCAAGACGGAAAGACCCCGUGAACCUUUACUAUAGCUUGACACUGAACAUUGAGCCUUGAUGUGUAGGAUAGGUGGGAGGCUUUGAAGCGUGGACGCCAGUCUGCGUGGAGCCGACCUUGAAAUACCACCCUUUAAUGUUUGAUGUUCUAACGUGGACCCGUGAUCCGGGUUGCGGACAGUGUCUGGUGGGUAGUUUGACUGGGGCGGUCUCCUCCUAAAGAGUAACGGAGGAGCACGAAGGUUGGCUAAUCCUGGUCGGACAUCAGGAGGUUAGUGCAAUGGCAUAAGCCAGCUUGACUGCGAGCGUGACGGCGCGAGCAGGUGCGAAAGCAGGUCAUAGUGAUCCGGUGGUUCUGAAUGGAAGGGCCAUCGCUCAACGGAUAAAAGGUACUCCGGGGAUAACAGGCUGAUACCGCCCAAGAGUUCAUAUCGACGGCGGUGUUUGGCACCUCGAUGUCGGCUCAUCACAUCCUGGGGCUGAAGUAGGUCCCAAGGGUAUGGCUGUUCGCCAUUUAAAGUGGUACGCGAGCUGGGUUUAGAACGUCGUGAGACAGUUCGGUCCCUAUCUGCCGUGGGCGCUGGAGAACUGAGGGGGGCUGCUCCUAGUACGAGAGGACCGGAGUGGACGCAUCACUGGUGUUCGGGUUGUCAUGCCAAUGGCACUGCCCGGUAGCUAAAUGCGGAAGAGAUAAGUGCUGAAAGCAUCUAAGCACGAAACUUGCCCCGAGAUGAGUUCUCCCUGAGACUUAGAGUCUCCUGAAGGAACGUUGAAGACGACGACGUUGAUAGGCCGGGUGUGUAAGCGCAGCGAUGCGUUGAGCUAACCGGUACUAAUGAACCGUGAGGCUUAACCUUACAACGCCGAAG